rnacentral:lncRNA from 1 species
GUGGUAUUUGCAGUGGUUGCUGCUGCAGCAGCUGCUUCUUAGCAGCAGAGGCAACCCAUUCUUCUGAGCUAUACAAUUUUUUUACAGUUUCUUUUCGCAUUCUUUUGGGAGGGAUGGGAGUGUCAGGCAUAUCAAGGAUUGCAGGCUGAAGUAACGAUUCAGAGACUUUAUCUGAGGGAGUCAUACCCAAUUUGUGUUCUAUAAGCUUGAGGCUUCUCUCUUGUUCGGCAAGCUCCUGUUUUUUCUGUAGGAUUUCUGGAGUGUUAAGUGAUCUCAAAUGUAAAUCGAGGUCUUUAUUCACAUCAUCAAGUUUUACAACUGCUGCACGGUAUUGCUGAAGAAGAUCUAUCUGUCCAGUGAAAGCAGAGUAUAGUUUUGGCACGGGUGCUCCAAAUACCAUUCCUCUGAGUUUGUCCAUUGGAGGAGCUUUGUUCUGAAGGCCUCCAAAUUUUCCAUUGCUGCGAAUCCUGUCUCCUU